AGCUUUGCGCAGUGGCAGUGUCUUAGCCAAUGGGGUGUAUCUGAGGCGCGAUUACCGCUCGUUGAAAACUUUUCCCAAUCCUGUGCCUUGAUGACUUGCAAUACAGUCGGCAGUGGCAUUUCUUGACGGUCUCUAUGGGGA
rnacentral:snRNA from 1 species